UAGGGGAAUCUUCCACAAUGGGCGAAAGUCUGAUGGAGCAACGCCGCGUGAGUGAAGAAGGUUUUCGGAUCGUAAAGCUCUGUUGUUGGUGAAGAAGGAUAGAGGCAGUAACUGGUCUUUAUUUGACGGUAAUCAACCAGAAAGUCACGGCUAACUACGUGUCAG
rnacentral:rRNA from 1 species